rnacentral:lncRNA from 10 species
GCCUUGGGUCCUUACUGAAUAUUAGGAACUGAGGCCUGGGUGUUGGGUGGGCUGCGUGGUCCUGGGUGCCAUAGCUCACAGAGGACGGGCAUGUGUGCACUCACUGUGUGUGCAGGCGUCUGUAAACACAGCCAGUGCAGGGGUGCGUGUGUGCUGUGUGCGCAGGAGAGUGUAAACAGUGCACGGGCGCGUGUGUGCUCACUGCGCAGGCAUCUGUAAAUAGUGCAUGGGCGUGUGUGCUCACUGCGCAGGCAUCUGUAAACAGUGCAUGGGCAUGUGUGCUCACUGUGUGCACAGGCGUCUGUAAACUGCACGGGCGUGUGUGCUGUGUGUGUGCAGGCGAGCGUAAACAGUGCACGGAUGCGUGUGCUCACCGUGUGCGCAGGCGAGUGUAAGUGCACGGGUGUGUGUGCUGUGCGCAGGCGAGUGUAAACUGCACGGGCGCGUGUGCUCACCGUGUGCGCAGGCGAGUGUAAACAGUGCACGGGUGCGUGUGCUCACUGUGCGCAGGCGAGUGUAAACAGUGCACGGGUGUGUGUGCUCACUGUGCAGGCGAGUGUAAACUGCACAGGCGCGUGUGCUCACCGUGUGCGCAGGCGAGUGUAAACAGUGCACGGGCGCGUGUGCUCACCGUGUGCGCAGGCGUGUAAACUGCACGGGCGCGUGUGCUCACUGCGCAGGCGAGUGUAAACAGUGCACGGGCGCGUGUGUGCUCACUGUGCGCAGGCGAGUUUAAACAGCGCACGGGCGCGUGUGUGCUCACUGCGCAGGCGAGUGUAAACUGCACGGGCGCGUGUGCUCACUGCGCAGGCGAGCGUAAACAGUGCACGGGCGCGCGUGUGCUCACCGUGCGCGCAGGCGAGCGUAAACAGUGCACGGGCGCGCGUGUGCUCACCGUGCGCGCAGGCGAGCGUAAACAGUGCACGGGCGCGCGUGUGCUCACCGUGCGCGCAGGCGAGCGUAAACAGUGCACGGGCGCGCGUGUGCUCACCGUGCGCGCAGGCGAGCGUAAACAGUGCACGGGCGCGCGUGUGCUCACCGUGCGCGCAGGCGAGCGUAAGCAGUGCACGGGCGCGCGUGCUCACCGUGUGCGCAGGCGAGUGUAAACAGUGCACGGGCGUGUGUGUUCACCGUGUGCGCAGGCGAGUGUAAACACAGCUGGUGCCCUGGUGCGUGUGUGCUGUGAGCACAGGUGUCUGUAAAUGAUGUAAACCUCCCUUGACGUCAGGCCCAAAAGCCUGCCUUGCCCUAAGGUCAAGAGGUGUAUCUGGCUGAUGCCAGCGUCUGGGUGAGGAAAGAGCAGGUUCCACAAGGGCGACUCCUGUGAGGGUGUUGGCCUGAGCGCGCAUGCGGGGAGGGGUCGGGGUGGGGGCGGCGCGCCGCAGUAACUCAGGGCCCCAUCCCGCUCCCGUCUGUCCAGCGGUCCUAGACCCCCAUGUCCUGAAGCGCACCUGUGCCCACCUGGCCCCGGGGAGCGCAGGUGUGGAGAUGGGGUGUCGUGCCUGGGGGUUCCUUCCCCACGCGCUGCCCCACCAGGAUUUCCCUGGGGUGGGGAGGGCUGCUGAGACAGGGCGCUGCCCUCCUCCAGGGUGACUGAGAUGCAGUUUACAACCAUGAUCUCCUGGCCGGGCGUGGUGGCUCACGGCUGUAAUCCCAGCUCUUUGGGAGGCCGAAGUGGGCGGAUCACGAGGUCAGGAGAUCAAGACCAUCCUGGCUAGCACGGUGAAACCCCG